CUGUGGCACAGUGGUUAAGCGCUUGGUUGCUAACCGAAAGGUUGGGGGUUCAAACCCCCCAG
rnacentral:tRNA from 1 species